rnacentral:rRNA from 1 species
CUGGUUGAUCCUGCCAGUAGUCAUAUGCUUGUCUCAAAGAUUAAGCCAUGCAUGUCUCAGUGCACGCCUUUAUACGGUGAAACCGCGAAUGGCUCAUUAAAUCAGCUAUGGUUUAUUGGAUCAUACCCGUUAAAUGGAUAACUGUAAUAACUCUAGAGCUAAUACAUGCCAUUAUGCCCUGACCCUCACGGGAAUGGGUGCACUUAUUAGAUCAGAAGUCAACCGUGUAUAGCCGCAAGGCUAUGCAUGUUGACCUUCUGGUGACUCUGGAUAAUUGUUACAGAUCGCAGUCGGCCCUGAGUCGGCGACGGGUCCUUCAAAUGUCUGCCCUAUCAACUUUCGAUGGUAGGUGACCUGCCUACCAUGGUGAUAACGGGUAACGGGGAAUCAGGGUUCGAUUCCGGAGAAGGAGCCUGAGAAACGGCUACCACUUCCAAGGGAGGCAGCAGGCGCGCAAAUUACCCACUCCCAGUACGGGGAGGUGGUGACGAAAAAUACCUAUGCGGGACUCUUAACGAGGCUCCGUAAUCGGAAUGAGUGAACUAUAAAUCCUUCCACGAGGAUCAAUUGGAGGGCAAGUCUGGUGCCAGCAGCCGCGGUAACUCCAGCUCCAAUAGCGUAUAUUAAAGUUGCUGCAGUUAAAAAGCUCGUAGUUGGAUCUCGGUAUCACUGUUGCUCGUCAGUCCUUAGGCGGUUGGCUGCGUGUGCAUGGGUUUGACUCGUGUUACCGUGGUCGGCCGUCCGAGUUGGCGGUGUGACGGUGUCGCCUUUCAGCCAUGUCUGUGGUGGGAUACCCGCAGGUGUAGGCGAGUGUCAGGCGGUGCCUUGCGAAAGCAGGGCUCGUCGGUUCGUCUGCAUGCCUUUGGAUGCCCUUUAAAAGGUGUCUGUGGGCGGAUGGCACGUUUACUUUGAACAAAUUUGAGUGCUCAAACCAGGCCGAUGUUGCCUGAAAAGUUUUGCAUGGAAUAAUGGAAUAGGACUUCGGUUCUAUUUCGUUAGUUUCGGAUCCGAAGUAAAGAUCAAAAGAGACAGGCGGGGG